rnacentral:rRNA from 1 species
CGCAACCCUUGUCCUUAGUUACCAGCACGUUAUGUGGGCACUCUAAGGAGACUGCCGGUGACAAACCGGAGGAAGUGGGGAUGACGUCAAGUCAUCAUGGCCUUACGGCCUGGCUACACACGUGCUACAAUGGUCGGUACAAAGGGUUGCCAAGCCGCGAGGUGGAGCUAAUCCCAUAAAACCGAUCGUAGUCCGGAUCGCAGUCUGCAACUCGACUGCGUGAAGUCGGAAUCGCUAGUAAUCGUGAAAUCAGAAUGUCACGGUGAAUACGUUCCCGGGCCUU